rnacentral:rRNA from 1 species
GUGAGGAAUAUUGGACAAUGGGCGCAAGCCUGAUCCAGCCAUGCCGCGUGCAGGAAGACGCAUCUAUGGUGUGUAAACUGCUUUUGUACGGGCAGAAACACUCCCUCGUGAGGGAGCUUGACGGUACCGUAAGAAUAAGGAUCGGCUAACUCCGUGCCAGCAGCCGCGGUAAUACGGAGGAUCCAAGCGUUAUCCGGAAUCAUUGGGUUUAAAGGGUCCGUAGGCGGUGUAAUAAGUCAGUGGUGAAAGCCCAUCGCUCAACGAUGGAACGGCCAUUGAUACUGUUAGACUUGAAUUACAAGGAAGUAACUAGAAUAUGUAGUGUAGCGGUGAAAUGCUUAGAUAUUACAUGGAAUACCAAUUGCGAAGGCAGGUUACUACUUGUGGAUUGACGCUGAUGGACGAAAGCGUGGGGAGCGAACAGGAUUAGAAACCCCAGUAGUCC